rnacentral:rRNA from 1 species
GGGAGGCAGCAGUGAGGAAUAUUGGUCAAUGGCCGCAGGGCUGAACCAGCCAAGUCGCGUGAGGGAUGACGGUCCUAUGGAUUGUAAACCUCUUUUGUCAGGGAGCAAAGGGCGUCACGUGUGGCGUUUUGCGAGUACCUGAAGAAAAAGCAUCGGCUAACUCCGUGCCAGCAGCCGCGGUAAUACGGAGGAUGCGAGCGUUAUCCGGAUUUAUUGGGUUUAAAGGGUGCGCAGGCGGAAUGUCAAGUCAGCGGUAAAAUUUCGGGGCUCAACCCCGUCGUGCCGUUGAAACUGGCGUUCUUGAGUGAGCGAGAAGUAUGCGGAAUGCGUGGUGUAGCGGUGAAAUGCAUAGAUAUCACGCAGAACUCCGAUUGCGAAGGCAGCAUACCGGCGCUCAACUGACGCUCAUGCACGAAAGCGUGGGUAUCGAACAGGAUUAGAUACCCUGGUAGUCCACG